CAUACCAAAGGAAUUAAUUGUGAUGAGAAGGGGCAUGUUGGUUUUCAAAAGUGCAUAAUAUAUCCAAAGCAUGGAACUAAAGAGAGCAACCACAUAUGGAAUUGAUUGAUAACCUUCUGUUGAUUUUUUCUUGUAAAUGUUAUAGAACGUCGGUCUACAAAAGUACAUAGUAAAAUUAUAAUAAGCAAAAUAUAUAUACCCAAAAAAUUUCAAAAAGUAAAUUAGAUGGAGACUCACAUUGGAGAAAGGAACACAAUGAACGAGACAAUGUUGCC
rnacentral:lncRNA from 1 species